GGUUAAGCGACUAAGCGUACACGGUGGAUGCCCUGGCAGUCAGAGGCGAUGAAGGACGUGCUAAUCUGCGAAAAGCGCCGGCGAGGUGAUAUGAACCUUUGACCCGGCGAUGUCCGAAUGGGGAAACCCAGUGUGAUUCGUCACACUAUCGUUAACUGAAUACAUAGGUUAACGAGGCGAACCGGGGGAACUGAAACAUCUAAGUACCCCGAGGAAAAGAAAUCAACCGAGAUUCCCCCAGUAGCGGCGAGCGAACGGGGAGCAGCCCAGAGUCUGAAUCAGCUUGUGUGUUAGUGGAAGCGUCUGGAAAGUCGCACGGUACAGGGUGACAGUCCCGUACACGAAAGCACACAGGUUGUGAACUCGAAGAGUAGGGCGGGACACGUGGUAUCCUGUCUGAAUAUGGGGGGACCAUCCUCCAAGGCUAAAUACUCCUGACUGACCGAUAGUGAACCAGUACCGUGAGGGAAAGGCGAAAAGAACCCCGGCGAGGGGAGUGAAAAAGAACCUGAAACCGUGUACGUACAAGCAGUGGGAGCACCUUCGUGGUGUGACUGCGUACCUUUUGUAUAAUGGGUCAGCGACUUAUAUUCUGUAGCAAGGUUAACCGUAUAGGGGAGCCGAAGGGAAACCGAGUCUUAACUGGGCGUUAAGUUGCAGGGUAUAGACCCGAAACCCGGUGAUCUAGCCAUGGGCAGGUUGAAGGUUGGGUAACACUAACUGGAGGACCGAACCGACUAAUGUUGAAAAAUUAGCGGAUGACUUGUGGCUGGGGGUGAAAGGCCAAUCAAACCGGGAGAUAGCUGGUUCUCCCCGAAAGCUAUUUAGGUAGCGCCUCGUGAACUCAUCUUCGGGGGUAGAGCACUGUUUCGGCUAGGGGGCCAUCCCGGCUUACCAACCCGAUGCAAACUACGAAUACCGAAGAAUGUUAUCACGGGAGACACACGGCGGGUGCUAACGUCCGUCGUGAAGAGGGAAACAACCCAGACCGCCAGCUAAGGUCCCAAAGUCAUGGUUAAGUGGGAAACGAUGUGGGAAGGCACAGACAGCCAGGAUGUUGGCUUAGAAGCAGCCAUCAUUUAAAGAAAGCGUAAUAGCUCACUGGUCGAGUCGGCCUGCGCGGAAGAUGUAACGGGGCUAAACCAUGCACCGAAGCUGCGGCAGCGACGCUUAGGCGUUGUUGGGUAGGGGAGCGUUCUGUAAGCCGUUGAAGGUGUGCUGUGAGGCAUGCUGGAGGUAUCAGAAGUGCGAAUGCUGACAUAAGUAACGAUAAAGCGGGUGAAAAGCCCGCUCGCCGGAAGACCAAGGGUUCCUGUCCAACGUUAAUCGGGGCAGGGUGAGUCGACCCCUAAGGCGAGGCCGAAAGGCGUAGUCGAUGGGAAACAGGUUAAUAUUCCUGUACUUGGUGUUACUGCGAAGGGGGGACGGAGAAGGCUAUGUUAGCCGGGCGACGGUUGUCCCGGUUUAAGCAUGUAGGCGGAGGUUCCAGGUAAAUCCGGUACCUUUUAACGCUGAGGUGUGAUGACGAGGCACUACGGUGCUGAAGUAACAAAUGCCCUGCUUCCAGGAAAAGCCUCUAAGCAUCAGGUAACAUCAAAUCGUACCCCAAACCGACACAGGUGGUCAGGUAGAGAAUACCAAGGCGCUUGAGAGAACUCGGGUGAAGGAACUAGGCAAAAUGGUGCCGUAACUUCGGGAGAAGGCACGCUGAUAUGUAGGUGAAGCCCCUGCGGGUGGAGCUGAAAUCAGUCGAAGAUACCAGCUGGCUGCAACUGUUUAUUAAAAACACAGCACUGUGCAAACACGAAAGUGGACGUAUACGGUGUGACGCCUGCCCGGUGCCGGAAGGUUAAUUGAUGGGGUUAGCGGCAACGCGAAGCUCUUGAUCGAAGCCCCGGUAAACGGCGGCCGUAACUAUAACGGUCCUAAGGUAGCGAAAUUCCUUGUCGGGUAAGUUCCGACCUGCACGAAUGGCGUAAUGAUGGCCAGGCUGUCUCCACCCGAGACUCAGUGAAAUUGAACUCGCUGUGAAGAUGCAGUGUACCCGCGGCAAGACGGAAAGACCCCGUGAACCUUUACUAUAGCUUGACACUGAACACUGGUCCUUGAUGUGUAGGAUAGGUGGGAGGCUUUGAAGCGUGGACGCCAGUCUGCGUGGAGCCGACCUUGAAAUACCACCCUUUAAUGGCUGGUGUUCUAACGUAGACCCGUAAUCCGGGUUGCGGACAGUGUCUGGUGGGUAGUUUGACUGGGGCGGUCUCCUCCCAAAGAGUAACGGAGGAGCACGAAGGUUAGCUAAUCCUGGUCGGACAUCAGGAGGUUAGUGCAAUGGCAUAAGCUAGCUUGACUGCGAGAGUGACGGCUCGAGCAGGUGCGAAAGCAGGUCAUAGUGAUCCGGUGGUUCUGAAUGGAAGGGCCAUCGCUCAACGGAUAAAAGGUACUCCGGGGAUAACAGGCUGAUACCGCCCAAGAGUUCAUAUCGACGGCGGUGUUUGGCACCUCGAUGUCGGCUCAUCACAUCCUGGGGCUGAAGUAGGUCCCAAGGGUAUGGCUGUUCGCCAUUUAAAGUGGUACGCGAGCUGGGUUUAGAACGUCGUGAGACAGUUCGGUCCCUAUCUGCCGUGGGCGCUGGAGAAUUGAGGGGGGCUGCUCCUAGUACGAGAGGACCGGAGUGGACGCAUCACUGGUGUUCGGGUUGUCAUGCCAAUGGCACUGCCCGGUAGCUAAAUGCGGAAAAGAUAAGUGCUGAAAGCAUCUAAGCACGAAACUUGCCCCGAGAUGAGUUCUCCCUGACCCUUUAAGGGUCCUGAAGGAACGUUGAAGACUACGACGUUGAUAGGUCGGGUGUGUAAGCGCAGCGAUGCGUUGAGCUAACCGAUACUAAUGAACCGUGAGGCUUAACCUU
rnacentral:rRNA from 1 species